rnacentral:rRNA from 1 species
GACGAACGCUGGCGGCGUGCCUAAUACAUGCAAGUCGAGCGGACGAAUCGAAAGCUUGCUUUUGAUUCGUUAGCGGCGGACGGGUGAGUAACACGUGGGCAACCUGCCCUGUAGACGGGGAUAACACCGAGAAAUCGGUGCUAAUACCGGAUAACACGAAAUGUCGCAUGACGUUUCGUUGAAAGACGGCGCAAGCUGCCGCUACAGGAUGGGCCCGCGGCGCAUUAGCUAGUUGGUGAGGUAACGGCUCACCAAGGCGACGAUACGUAGCCGACCUGAGAGGGUGAUCGGCCACACUGGGACUGAGACACGGCCCAGACUCCUACGGGAGGCAGCAGUAGGGAAUCUUCCGCAAUGGACGAAAGUCUGACGGAGCAACGCCGCGUGAGCGAAGAAGGCCUUCGGGUCGUAAAGCUCUGUUGUUAGGGAAGAACAAGUAACGCAGUAACGGGCGUUACCGUGACGGUACCUAACGAGAAAGCCACGGCUAACUACGU